AGGGUGUGGGUUUGGUUCUUUUCUGGUGAGCAGAAAAUGGUUCAGAAAUUAAUAUGCCACCAUUAAUAUGGUUCCGGUCAGAAACUCAAAAUAAUUCAUGGUCUGAAAAUGAAGUAAAAAACAUGAUGAAAGAAUCUCAUGUGCUACAAGGUUGCUGAGGAGUUCUGGCUUAUGUCUCACACUUCUACAUCUCCACCUUCUCAUGGGACAUCUGAAUAAAUCCCACUGCCUCUUUGAUUCAUGGAUAAGUGACAAAGUUUUUUGUUUGUAAGGACAAGUGCCUGGUUGUGCACCUGAAGAGGAAGCACUUACCUGCCUGAGGCAGGGUAAGAAUUGUGGAGCUCUGAUAAUGCUGCAGAAGACCUGUCUUGUAGUCUUUGAAGCCUGAUUUGCACCCAAAGGAAUGGAUUUCUCUUUUGUCUGGAAAUUAAUGUACACCACAGCUACCACCUUGGGAUUGCAAGGUCAGAAAGUUGUGAGGGAUUGAUGCUACAAAGCUCCAUUAAGGUGAUGAAUACAUACAGUGCUGACAGUGUAAAGCAAGCAAAGAAGCAAGAAGUAUUUUCUGUUAUUCAGUCCUGCAGAAGGGGAUACAGGGAAGGCUCUAUCUUCUGGACAGAGUUAUAAAAGCAAAGGAGAAGCCUUUAGAGAUUGUAUCUGGAGCAGCCUGGGCAAUUUUUCUGCUCUGCAUUUCUUGGGCAGAGAGCCGCUUGAAACAUUUCCAGCUAGUAUUGUUGUGGUUUUUUGUGUUUGAGGUUUAUUUUAUUUUAUUUUUUUUACUGGGGAAUGUCAAUUCACAGAAAUCAACAAGUUCCAUGGGAAUAUGCUUAAAUAUGUUUUUAUUGCACAAAAAAAGAAAAAAAACAAAUGGUGCUGACAAGGUCAAGGAAUGUUCUGAUGCUUCAUUUCAAACUUAUUGGUUUUAACAUCUCAUAUUGUAUAAAGCUUUAAACAGAGGCAAAAAUGAACUUUUUUUUUUUUUUUUUUUUUU